CGGACGGGUGAGUAACGCGUGGGUAACCUACCCUGUACACACGGAUAACAUACCGAAAGGUAUGCUAAUACGGGAUAAUAUAUUUGAGAGGCAUCUCUUGAAUAUCAAAGGUGAGCCAGUACAGGAUGGACCCGCGUCUGAUUAGCUAGUUGGUAAGGUAUCGGCUUACCAAGGCGACGAUCAGUAGCCGACCUGAGAGGGUGAUCGGCCACAUUGGAACUGAGACACGGUCCAA
rnacentral:rRNA from 1 species